rnacentral:rRNA from 1 species
CCCAGACUCCUACGGGAGGCAGCAGUGGGGGAUAUUGCACAAUGGGGGAAACCCUGAUGCAGCGACGCCGCGUGAGUGAAGAAGUAUUUCGGUAUGUAAAGCUCUCUCAGCAGGGAAGAAAAAAGACGGUACCUGACUAAGAAGCCCCGGCUAACUACGUGCCAGCAGCCGCGGUAAUACGUAGGGGGCAAGCGUUAUCCGGAUUUACUGGGUGUAAAGGGAGCGUAGACGGCAAUACAAGUCGGAAGUGGAAUACCCGGGCUUAACCUGGGAACUGCUUUGGAAACUGUAUGGCUGGAGUGCUGGAGAGGUAAGCGGAAUUCCUAGUGUAGCGGUGAAAUGCGUAGAUAUUAGGAGGAACACCAGUGGCGAAGGCGGCUUACUGGACAGUAACUGACGUUGAGGCUCGAAAGCGUGGGGAGCAAACAGGAUUAGAUACCCCCGUAC